UCGCAAACGAGCUCUCUACCUCCCCCUCUACUCCCCUCCCUGUUUCAAGCGCCAAGCCGAGCCCCCACGGUGUCCAGAGCCGCCCGCUGCCCGCCAUUAGUGCCGCCGCCCCUAGGUCGCCGCGGAGCUCACCCCUCCGGCCUUCCUCGUGCCCAACAUCACCCGCAGCUAGCUUCCUUGCCUCCCACUGGUGCUCCUCGACCCGUUCACCAUCGCCCACGGCCACCAGACCGCCGCCGCCACCGCCAACCGCCGCCGCCGGCCGCUGCUCUCCGCGGAGCCGCCCGCUCCGGCCAUCCCAGCUCCAACCAAAGCCACCCCGAGGUACGAUAGAUGAACCAUAUGAAGGGCGUGAUAUUGGAACCGAACACGAAGACGAUGUUUGGUGGACAUAUCCAGAAGAGGCAAAGAGCCAGGAGUACAUGCUUGGACCGGAAUACUCGCCAAGCGAGUGUCAUCUAACAAACACUGACCUAGUGUUAAUUCCAGACAAGCCCCGAUGCGUGUCCUAGUAUUUUAAAAUUAUGACAUCCAUAUAUGUUGCUAGUACUUAUGCAUUACGUUCUAGGAGUUGAUUUGAAACCUAGUUGCAUGAUCCGUGGUUCCUUGAGUUGUACUAGUAUGUAUAGGGCGAUAGAAACGCUAUGCUUAAUAAGUAUCGAUAGAAGUCGAGUGACUGCUUGUCACUCGCGAGAUAUAGGAUGUUUAGAAGACGAGUAAUUUCCAGUUACUCGCGAGAUAUAAGUUAUAUGUAUAGUUAUGUUACAGUAUCUGAGUUAUUGAAAGUGAUAUGGAAUUGUGAGA